rnacentral:lncRNA from 1 species
UAAUACCAUUCCCGUUGGAGUUGAGGACACACUAACCCUCCAGAAUCAACCAUUUCAUAGUCAAGUAGACUAAAUUUAGCUAUAUUUGAUUGUCCAACGCGAUCGCGCAAGGUUGCAAAAGAAAUGGCAGGGGAGUUAUGGAGCAAGAACUGGAUAAUUGGUAGAUGGAUGGCUUUGGUCUUUCUAGGCUUUUUUUUGCUGCUUGUGGACGUGCAUUGCUUCCUUCUUCUCCGCGAGUACAACCCGGAAGACACAGUUUAUGGUUUGU